AAUAAAAAACGGAGCAAUGUGUGUCUUGUGAAGUUGGUCAGGUCCUGACGGAAGCAGCCAUAAGCGUGAAACACAUGUGCUCUUUUUUGUUCUCUAUU
rnacentral:SRP_RNA from 1 species